rnacentral:rRNA from 1 species
CCCCGCCCGCCUACGGGAGGCAGCAGUGGGGAAUUUUGGACAAUGGGCGAAAGCCUGAUCCAGCAAUGCCGCGUGCAGGAUGAAGGCCUUCGGNUUGUAAACUGCUUUUGUACGGAACGAAAAAGCUCCUUCUAAUACAGGGGGCCCAUGACGGUACCGUAAGAAUAAGCACCGGCUAANUACGUGCCAGCAGCCGCGGUAAUACGUAGGGUGCGAGCGUUAAUCGGAAUUACUGGGCGUAAAGCGUGCGCAGGCGGUUAUGUAAGACAGAUGUGAAAUCCCCGGGCUCAACCUGGGAACUGCAUUUGUGACUGCAUGGCUAGAGUACGGUAGAGGGGGAUGGAAUUCCGCGUGUAGCAGUGAAAUGCGUAGAUAUGCGGAGGAACACCGAUGGCGAAGGCAAUCCCCUGGACCUGUACUGACGCUCAUGCACGAAAGCGUGGGGAGCAAACAGGAUUAGAUACCCUGGUAGUCCACGCCCUAAACGAUGUCAACUGG